rnacentral:rRNA from 1 species
AUUGAACGCUGGCGGCAUGCUUUACACAUGCAAGUCGAACGGCAGCGCGGGCUUCGGCCUGGCGGCGAGUGGCGAACGGGUGAGUAAUACAUCGGAACGUGCCCAGUAGUGGGGGAUAGCUCGGCGAAAGCCGGAUUAAUACCGCAUACGACCUGAGGGUGAAAGCGGGGGAUCUUCGGACCUCGCGCUAUUGGAGCGGCCGAUGGCAGAUUAGCUAGUUGGUGGGGUAAAGGCCUACCAAGGCGACGAUCUGUAGCUGGUCUGAGAGGACGACCAGCCACACUGGGACUGAGACACGGCCCAGACUCCUACGGGAGGCAGCAGUGGGGAAUUUUGGACAAUGGGCGAAAGCCUGAUCCAGCAAUGCCGCGUGUGUGAUGAAGGCCUUCGGGUUGUAAAGCACUUUUGGCGGGAACGAAAAGGACUGUGCCAAUACCACGGCUCGAUGACGGUACCCGCAGAAUAAGCACCGGCUAACUACGUG